UACGUAGGGGCUAGCGUUAUCCGGAAUUACUGGGCGUAAAGGGUGCGUAGGUGGUUUCUUAAGUCAGAGGUGAAAGGCUACGGCUCAACCGUAGUAAGCCUUUGAAACUGAGAAACUUGAGUGCAGGAGAGGAGAGUAGAAUUCCUAGUGUAGCGGUGAAAUGCGUAGAUAUUAGGAGGAAUACCAGUUGCGAAGGCGGCUCUCUGGACUGUAACUGACACUGAGGCACGAAAGCGUGGGGAGCAAACAGGAUUAGAUACCCGGUAGUCCCUGAG
rnacentral:rRNA from 1 species